AAUAUAACAUUACAGACAGUACACCCUAUAAUACUGAUAUUAUUAGCAGGGGAAAAAAUUUAACAGGGACUAAGAAUAAAGUGGACAGGUUUUAGUCAGAUUAAAACAGGGACUAAGAAUAAAGUGGACAGGUUUUAGUCAGAUUAAAACAGGGACUAAGAAUAAAGUGGACAGGUUUCUAGCAUCCAGGGAGGAUGUUUUAGUCAGAUUAAAACAGGGACUA